GAUGAACGCUGGCGGCGUGCCUAAUACAUGCAGGUCGAGCGAACGGACGAGAAGCUUGCUUUUCUGAUGUUAGCGGCGGACGGGUGAGUAACACGUGGAUAACCUACCUAUAAGACUGGGAUAACUUCGGGAAACCGGAGCUAAUACCGGAUAAUAUUUUGAACCGCAUGGUUCAAAGGUGAAAGACGGUCUUGCUGUCACUUAUAGAUGGAUCCGCGCUGCAUUAGCUAGUUGGUAAGGUAACGGCUUACCAAGGCAACGAUGCAUAGCCGACCUGAGAGGGUGAUCGGCCACACUGGAACUGAGACACGGUCCAGACUCCUACGGGAGGCAGCAGUAGGGAAUCUUCCGCAAUGGGCGAAAGCCUGACGGAGCAACGCCGCGUGAGUGAUGAAGGUCUUCGGAUCGUAAAACUCUGUUAUUAGGGAAGAACAUAUGUGUAAGUAACUGUGCACAUCUUGACGGUACCUAAUCAGAAAGCCACGGCUAACUACGUG
rnacentral:rRNA from 1 species